rnacentral:lncRNA from 1 species
UGUGCCAUCUCUGAGCAGAAUCCUCCAUCUUUGGGACCAUCGUUCUCUUCUCACUACCAUGCGCCUUCUUGGUCCUAGAUAAUGAUACCAUUAACCUGAAUCCCAGAAGGAUGAGUGAGAAAUAGACUUGAUAAAAAUCAACAUACCACUGAAUUCUGCUGUUCUAAAAUCUGAGGCCUCUUGCUGUCUGGGUGCUUCAGGAAGACAUAUGCCUUCCACUGCCCACGGGAACAGUUCUUCUCAUCCCUUUUCUCGCAAAGGAGUAUCAUAGAAAAAAAAUUGAAAAAUACUUCCCCAUGUGAAGGAGCUUUGGUUCAGCUGCAGAGCUAAACUCACAUCUGCACUAAAUUGGAAUUGGCUGUGAAUGAUUACAAAUGAAAAUCUGUUGUUGCUGAAGGAUCUUAUUUGCAACAAAAGACAAGAACAGGAACAAAGAAAAUGCAACCUACAAUGCAGUAUUAGAACUUCAAAGGAAAACAAAAUGCAUGUUUACAGGUAAAGAAUCCUCCAAAAAUUCUAGGGUUCGGUUAAAAAUUCUCUUCCAAACCUCUUAGCAAGCCCAGUGAGAAAGAAAACACAUUUGUUUUCAAAUUGUAAGUAAGGAAAAAAAAUGCUUUUUAACCGUAUGACCUUAGGCAAAUUAAGUAAUCACCCUGUGCCUCCGUUUCUUCAUAAGCUUAAUAAGAACGAUAGAAGUAACUUGGUUAUAUAGGCAUGUUAUGAGGAUUAAAUCAAACGUGCCAGUGUUAGUAAAGCAUUUAGAACAGUGGCUGGCACAAGGUAAGCACUAUUUGAGUGUUUUUAAAAUAAAACAAUAAAAUAAAUGCUAAGGAAAAUUCUCAAGCAAUGUAAAGUUUCACCCAGUACCUAAUUUUAAAGGAUAGUUCUCAUUGGGAGCUUCGCCUUAUCAACAGGAGAGUAAGAGAGACAAGGUAAAAAUGUUCACUUAUGACUUCUUUGUCGCAAACACGUUUGUGGGAUUUGUGGAAUGUUUUCUUGACUCAUCCCUCAGUAGGUGCUGAGGACAGAACGUUGAAAUCAGGGAAAGCAAUUUUGCAGCAGGCCA